rnacentral:lncRNA from 1 species
CUAUGCGAUUGGCUUGUAGGGCACUAUUCUUUCACUCUCGAGUCGGCUCAAUCUCAAAUCUGCAAAAUUUAGCUUUCUGAUCCACCUGAGAGAGUCAGCUCAUGGCUUCCUUGAGUUGGCUCAUCUUUGUGCCAGAACUGCAUGCCACGCCUAAAUUGCGCCAGAGUCAACUCCGUUGCUACUAGGAGUUGACUCAACUUUCUCAAACUUAUUUUUAUCGAGAAAUCUAUCUCCGAACUUGAUUUUUCUU